GCUUACCAUGCAGUCGACGCACCGCAAGGUGAGUGGCAGACGGGUGAGUAACGCGUGGGAACCUUCCCUUUGGUACGGAAUAACUUCGGGAAACCGAAGCUAAUACCGUAUAUCUCCUGCGGGAGAAAGAUUUAUCGCCAAAGGAUGGGCCCGCGUUGGAUUAGCUAGUUGGUGUGGUAAUGGCGCACCAAGGCGACGAUCCAUAGCUGGUCUGAGAGGAUGAUCAGCCACACUGGGACUGAGACACGGCCCAGACUCCUACGGGAGGCAGCAGUGGGGAAUAUUGGACAAUGGGGGCAACCCUGAUCCAGCCAUGCCGCGUGAGUGAAGAAGGCCUUAGGGUUGUAAAGCUCUUUUGGCGGGGACGAUAAUGACGGUACCCGCAGAAUAAGCCCCGGCUAACUUCGUGCCAGCAGCCGCGGUAAUACGAAGGGGGCUAGCGUUGUUCGGAAUCACUGGGCGUAAAGCGUACGCAGGCGGAUUGAUAAGUCAGGGGUGAAAUCCCGGGGCUCAACCUCGGAAUUGCCUUUGAUACUGUCUGUCUUCGAGUUCGGGAGAGGUUGG
rnacentral:rRNA from 1 species